AGCGAACGCUGGCGGCAGGCUUAACACAUGCAAGUCGAGCGAUUCUCUUCGGAGAAGAGCGGCGGACGGGUGAGUAACGCGUGGGUAACCUGCCCUGUACACACGGAUAACAUACCGAAAGGUAUGCUAAUACGGGAUAAUAUGCUUUAGUCGCAUGGCUGAAGUAUCAAAGCUCCGGCGGUACAGGAUGGACCCGCGUCUGAUUAGCUAGUUGGUAAGGUAACGGCUUACCAAGGCGACGAUCAGUAGCCGACCUGAGAGGGUGAUCGGCCGCAUUGGAACUGAGACACGGUCCAAACUCCUACGGGAGGCAGCAGUGGGGAAUAUUGCACAAUGGGCGAAAGCCUGAUGCAGCAACGCCGCGUGAGCGAUGAAGGCCUUCGGGUCGUAAAGCUCUGUCCUCAAGGAAGAUAAUGACGGUACUUGAGGAGGAAGCCCCGGCUAACUACGUGCCAGCCGCCGCGGUAA
rnacentral:rRNA from 1 species